rnacentral:rRNA from 1 species
UAUAAGCACUUUGUACUGUGAAACUGCGAAUGGCUCAUUAAAUCAGUUAUCGUUUAUUUGAUAGUACCCUACUACAUGGAUACCUGUGGUAAUUCUAGAGCUAAUACAUGCGCAAAACCCCGACUUCGGAAGGGGUGUAUUUAUUAGAUAAAAAACCAAUGCCCUUCGGGGCUCCUUGGUGAUUCAUAAUAACUUAACGAAUCGCAUGGCCUUGCGCCGGCGAUGGUUCAUUCAAAUUUCUGCCCUAUCAACUUUCGAUGGUAGGAUAGUGGCCUACCAUGGUGGCAACGGGUAACGGGGAAUUAGGGUUCGAUUCCGGAGAGGGAGCCUGAGAAACGGCUACCACAUCCAAGGAAGGCAGCAGGCGCGCAAAUUACCCAAUCCCGAUCCGGGGAGGUAGUGACAAUAAAUACUGAUAUAGGGCUCUUUUGGGUCUUAUAAUUGGAAUGAGUACAAUCUAAAUCUCUUAACGAGGAACAAUUGGAGGGCAAGUCUGGUGCCAGCAGCCGCGGUAAUUCCAGCUCCAAUAGCGUAUAUUAAAGUUGUUGCAGUUAAAAAGCUCGUAGUUGAACCUUGGGCCCGUCCUGCCGGUCCGCCUCACCGCGAGUACUGGUCCGGAUGGGUCUUUCUUUCUGGGGAAUCCCAUGGCCUUCACUGGCUGUGGCGGGGAACCAGAGAGUGUUCAAAGCAGGCCUUUGCUCGGAUACAUUAGCAUGGAAUAAUAAAAUAGGACGUGUGGUUCUAUUUUGUUGGUUUCUAGGACCGCCGUAAUGAUUAAUAGGGAUAGUCGGGGGCGUCAGUAUUCAGCUGUCAGAGGUGAAAUUCUUGGAUUUGCUGAAGACUAACUACUGCGAAAGCAUUCGCCAAGGAUGUUUUCAUUAAUCAGGGAACGAAAGUUAGGGGAUCGAAAACGAUCAGAUACCGUUGUAGUCUUAACCAUAAACUAUGCCGACUAGGGAUCGGGCGGUGUUUCUAUGAUGACCCGCUCGGCACCUUACGAGAAAUCAAAGUUUUUGGGUUCUGGG